rnacentral:tRNA from 1 species
CCUGGUGGCUCAGUUGGUAAAGAAUCUGCCUGCAAUGCAGGAGACCCGGGUUCGAUCCCUGGGUCAGGA